CCUACGGGGGGCAGCAGUGAGGAAUAUUGGUCAAUGGACGAGAGUCUGAACCAGCCAAGUAGCGUGAAGGAUGACUGCCCUAUGGGUUGUAAACUUCUUUUAUAUGGGAAUAAAAUGUUCCACGUGUGGGAUUUUGUAUGUACCAUAUGAAUAAGGAUCGGCUAACUCCGUGCCAGCAGCCGCGGUAAUACGGAGGAUCCGAGCGUUAUCCGGAUUUAUUGGGUUUAAAGGGAGCGUAGGUGGAUUGUUAAGUCAGUUGUGAAAGUUUGCGGCUCAACCGUAAAAUUGCAGUUGAAACUGGCAGUCGUGAGUACAGUAGAGGUAGGCGGAAUGCGUGGUGUAGCGGUGAAAUGCUUAGAUAUCACGAAGAACUCCGAGUGCGAAGGCAGCUCACUGGACUGCAACUGACACUGAGGCUCGAAAGUGUGGGUAUCAAACAGGAUUAGAUACCCUUGUAGUC
rnacentral:rRNA from 1 species